rnacentral:rRNA from 1 species
GACGAACGCUGGCGGCGUGCUUAACACAUGCAAGUCGAACGGAAAGGCCCUGCUUUUGUGGGGUGCUCGAGUGGCGAACGGGUGAGUAACACGUGAGUAACCUGCCCUUGACUUUGGGAUAACUUCAGGAAACUGGGGCUAAUACCGGAUAGGAGCUCCUGCUGCAUGGUGGGGGUUGGAAAGUUUCGGCGGUUGGGGAUGGACUCGCGGCUUAUCAGCUUGUUGGUGGGGUAGUGGCUUACCAAGGCUUUGACGGGUAGCCGGCCUGAGAGGGUGACCGGCCACAUUGGGACUGAGAUACGGCCCAGACUCCUACGGGAGGCAGCAGUGGGGAAUAUUGCACAAUGGGCGGAAGCCUGAUGCAGCAACGCCGCGUGAGGAAUGACGGCCUUCGGGUUGUAAACCGCUUUCGCCUGUAACGAAGCGUGAGUGACGGUAAUGGGUAAAGAAGCACCGGCUAACUACGUG